CUGUCAGUAGUUAGCUUCGUUAGCUUGUGAUGUUUGUUUUACGUCUGGGAAGAAGCGACAUGAAGAAGAUGAAGAAGCAGUGUUAGCAUCUGCUGCACAACUGAAGAUUGUCAGGUUGUGGGAACCUUGGCGCAGGUUUUAACCCGAAGUGCUCUCCUUUCAUCUGGUCAUCAUGGCGUGGGCUCUGAAGCUUCCUCUCACGGACGAGGUGAUCGAGUCUGGUUUGGUGCAGGAUUUCGAUGCCAGUCUGUCGGGCAUCGGGCAGGAGCUCGGGGCGGGGGCGUACAGCAUGAGAACAGGGUCUCCAGGGUCUUCAGGGUCUUCAGGGUCUCCAG